UCCUUGUAAAAUUUGUCUCUUGACGAAUACUAUAAAGUAAAUAGUCUGUCUUGCUUGUUGAUGCAUUGCAACUAACUUUUCUGUACAUGUACUACGUUGGGACGAACCCUCUAGUAUCUAUUACAUAUAUAUAAGUGGUGAUAACCUGCUUCGCUGAUGGAUGACAUGCCUGCUUCAACUGCUUCAUCCGUAAUUUUAUUGUAUUAUUUUUAAUUAAUUAUUAUAAGUUAUUUUGUUGAUGCAUUGCAACUAACUUUUCUGUACAUGUACUACGUUGGGACGAACCCUCUAGUAUCUAUUACAUAUAUAUAAGUGGUGAUAACCUGCUUCGCUGAUGGAUGACAUGCCUGCUUCAACUGCUUCAUCCGUAAUUUUAUUGUAUUAUUUUUAAUUAAUUAUUAUAAGUUAUUNNNNN
rnacentral:lncRNA from 1 species